AGAGCGAAGCGGGAAGAGCUCAAAUUUAUAAUCUGGCACCUUCGGUGUCCGAGUUGUAAUCUCUAGAAAUGUUUUCCGCGUUGGACCGCACACAAGUCUGUUGGAAUACAGCGGCAUAGUGGUGAGACCCCCGUAUAUGGUGCGGACGCCCAGCGCUUUGUGAUACAUUUUCGAAGAGUCGAGUUGUUUGGGAAUGCAGCUCAAAUUGGGUGGUAAAUUCCAUCUAAAGCUAAAUAUUGGCGAGAGACCGAUAGCGAACAAGUACCGUGAGGGAAAGAUGAAAAGCACUUUGGAAAGAGAGUUAACAGUACGUGAAAUUGUUGGAAGGGAAACGCUUGAAGUCAGACUUGCUUGCCGAGCAAUCGGUUUGCAGGCCAGCAUCAGUUUUCCGGGAUGGAUAAUGGUAGAGAGAAGGUAGCAGUUUCGGCUGUGUUAUAGCUCUCUGCUGGAUACAUCUUGGGGGACUGAGGAACGCAGUGUGCCUUUGGCGGGGGUUUCGACCUCUUCACACUUAGGAUGCUGGUGGAAUGGCUUUAAACGACCCGUCUUGAACCACGGACCA
rnacentral:rRNA from 1 species